rnacentral:tRNA from 4 species
GGAUCGGUGGCCGAGUGGCUUAAGGCACACGCUUGGAAAGCGUGCAUACGGUCAAACGUAUCGGGGGUUCGAAUCCCCCCUGAUCCGCCA